rnacentral:rRNA from 1 species
GACGAACGCUGGCGGCGUGCUUAACACAUGCAAGUCGAACGGAAAGGCCUCUUUCGGGGGGUACUCGAGUGGCGAACGGGUGAGUAACACGUGAGUAACCUGCCCUUGACUUUGGGAUAACUUCAGGAAACUGGGGCUAAUACCGGAUAGGAGCUCCUGCUGCAUGGUGGGGGUUGGAAAGUUUCGGCGGUUGGGGAUGGACUCGCGGCUUAUCAGCUUGUUGGUGGGGUAGUGGCUUACCAAGGCUUUGACGGGUAGCCGGCCUGAGAGGGUGACCGGCCACAUUGGGACUGAGAUAGGGCCCAGACUCCUACGGGAGGCAGCAGUGGGGAAUAUUGCACAAUGGGUGGAAGCCUGAUGCAGCAACGCCGUGUGCGGGAUGACGGCCUUCGGGUUGUAAACCGCUUUCGCUCAUGACGAAGCUUUGUGUGACGGUAGUGGGUAAAGAAGCACCGGCUAACUACGUG